UAUCGAAACAACGUGGUACAAAAAUUUCAUUUUCUUUCACAUCAAAAUCAGCUGUGAACAUCAGUAUGGCCGCUCCAUUAUCUAAAAAAUAAAAUUGUUUUUGUAAAAUCAUACAAAAAAAAUAGUAAAGUGCAGUUUUCGUACUUACACCAUCUAAUUGUACAUUUUGCGAAUAGUGUUGAUGUUGACUAAAAGUGUUGCGUCAUGACAGAGACCUCUCACUGACAAACAAAUACAAUAAAAAUUGCGACUCGCUUAUUACGGCGACUUAUUGUAAUUUCUAUUGGACUCGUAUAACGUUACUGUCGUUCGGUUGAGGGCUGAUGUUAUUACUGAAUCGUUAUCGAAAUUUAUAUAAUGAGUAGUGUUAGAUUGAGUUUUGUAUCCGUGGGAAGGAUAGCAGUGAGAAGAAAUUCACAAAUAUCGGGUGCUCAGCCAUGUCGUACUUUACGACGGACGUGCCCUCGAGACUUCAGCACUUGCUCGGUGCUGUGCAAGAGCCCCACCGAGCAACCACCCGGACCACCACACUCACACCCACCAAAGGAAGCUGCUAAUUCAGGUUCAACAUCAGGUGGCAAGAAGUCAGGGUCUGGUAACAACAAUGGAGUCCUCACGUGCCCAAAGUGCGGCGACCCCUGCACCCACGUCGAGACCUUCGUUAGUUCCACACGGUUCGUCAAGUGCGACAAGUGCCACCACUUCUUCGUGGUACUCAGUGAGGUUGACACUAAGAAGAGCAUUAAAGAUAAUGCGGAUAAUAAGUCUGGAUUCUACAGAAAACCUCCACCGCCUCCUAAGAAAAUCUUCGAAUACCUAAACAAACACGUCGUGGGCCAGGAGUACGCCAAGAAGGUGCUGUCAGUGGCCGUGUACAACCACUACAAGAGGAUCUACAACAACGUGACCAGCGUCGCGCCGGCAGACGCCCACCAUCCUUUACAUCACACGCACAGAGAUCUCCUCCACUUAAGUCACGGCAACAACAGCGGCGGCGCCGAGGUGCUGGAGCGCCAACACCACGAGCUGAGGCUCGACAAGAGCAACGUGCUGCUUCUGGGACCCACUGGAUGCGGUAAAACUCUGUUAGCACAAACGAUAGCGCAAUGCCUGGACGUGCCGUUCGCGAUCUGCGACUGUACGACGCUCACACAGGCCGGUUACGUCGGCGAGGACAUCGAGAGUGUCAUCGCCAAACUGCUGCAGGACGCCAAUUUCAACGUGGAGCGAGCACAGACGGGUAUCGUGUUCUUAGACGAGGUGGACAAAAUCGGUGCCGUGCCGGGCAUACACCAGCUUAGGGAUGUUGGAGGCGAGGGCGUGCAGCAGGGCAUGCUGAAGAUGCUGGAGGGCGCGGUGGUGUCGGUGCCGGAGCGGAACUCGCGCAAGCUGCGCGGGGACGCCGUGCAGGUCGACACCACCAACAUACUCUUCGUCGCCAGCGGGGCCUACAACGGACUCGACAGACUGGUGCAGCGGCGCAACAACGAGAAGUACCUGGGGUUCGGCGCGUGGGACCCGCGGUCGGGGCGGCGCGCGGCGCUGGCGGCCGCGGCCAGCGACGCCAGCCCGCUCGACUCCGCGCGCGCUGAGAACGACGAGCGGGACGCCUGGCUGCGCAAGGUGCAGGCCCGGGACCUCAUCGACUUCGGGAUGAUACCGGAAUUCGUCGGAAGAUUCCCAGUUUUAGUACCUUUCCAUAGUCUCAAUCAAGAUCUGCUCGUACGGAUACUAAAAGAACCUAAAAAUGCUAUGGUAUCUCAAUACAAACUGCUGUUCGCGAUGGACAAGUGCGAGCUGACGUUCAGUGACGAGGCGCUGAAGGCCGUCGCGGCGCUCGCCAUGGAGCGGAAGACUGGGGCCCGUGGGCUUAGAGCCAUCAUGGAGAACCUGCUCCUGGAGGUGAUGUUCGAGAUCCCGGGGUCGGACAUAGCGUCGGUGCACAUCCACGAGGGCUGCGUGUCGCGCGCCGAGCCGCCGCAGACGGCGCGCCGCCGCGACCACGCCGAGCCGCGCGCCGCCGCCCGGGACCUCGACGACUGGCCCUCGGUGCGCCUGCAUAACUAAUGUCGUUUCCACGGCGGUCUGGCCAAGAUCGCAAAAUGGGUGUUCUAUGUGAUAUUUUAGGCUCAAGGCUACAGUUACGCAACCAUCUGUCACUCAUUCGUGUGUGCUGUGAGCGGUAACAAGUAUGGUGGUUACAAACGAACGGACGUCAAGUGUUUAGUUAGUGAAGCCGACUGUACUUCACUCUAGCGGCUCACGACAACCGAGGUAAGAACUGUUUGUUACUGAAGUAGACACCGCACCGCUGUGCGGUAUAUUAGUGUUGAAAAAUAUAAAAAAAAAUGCAACGUUUUGAUUUAGUGCUUUUUUGUGAAAUUGUGCGUUGUGACGUUCGGGAGUCCUGUUUUAUAAGACUUAGUAUUCCUAACAUCAUUCCUGUUUGUAGGUUUGAUUGACACUCCAUUCUCGGAUUGCCUUUUUUCUGUUAUCACGGCAUCCGUAAUGGCAGUGUCCUCCAUUGUUAAGUCCGCAUGUCGUAGUGAUUAUACUUGUAUUAGCAAUUUGCCCAACUCAGUGUUACAUACAAAUGUAGAUUUAUCGAUGUAUCCUAUAUCAGCAUUUGAAUCGAACGGCCAAGUUAAUAGUAUAUGGAACUACUGUUUUAGCGAUAAGUUAACUGUAGUAAAUUAGGACUCCUGAGUAAGCUUAGUUCCAGCUAGCAUUUCAUGAAAAAUGUGAUGGUUUGAACUAAAAGUUUUCUGCGUGAUUUAUUUAAAAUCUUUUCGAUUCUAUCCUAAAUUCAAAAAGAUAGAAAACUUUUUGUUUGAACCUAAAAUUAGACCUUAUGGGUCCUUACUGUUAGUUCCUUACGUUAGUUUAUGUUGGAAAUAAAUGUUGUAUUGUCAACGACCACCAUACAACAUACUCUUGUGAUGUAAAUUACUGUAAAUAAUAAAUGAUAAUGAUUAAUAGAAAAGAAACUGUUAUAAUUAAGGUUUAUUAAAAUUAAAAUAGGGUUCAUUAUUGUACAUCCCAGAUAAGUUGUAAGUACGAAAAGUCACACGCAGAUGUUGUUAGUAUAAAAUAGAUAUUUUUUAUUUCGGCCGGCAACACUGAGAAGGAAUGACGUUUUGACAUUUUGUUAAUUAUUAUACAUAAUUAUUUUUUUAUUUAUAAAUGGAUCGUUGUGGUGUGAUUAUAGUAAGUGUGAAUAUUUUUUUGUUAAAAAACCUCCAAAAAAUUGUGUCUAAUAUAAUUCUGGACUUGUGAUAGGAUAAAUUUUAUGGCAUGUUGAUAUAAUCACAUUGCAACUCGAGUAAAAUAGUAUAAGCCUAUUUUCAAUUUAAAAUAUAAAGAAAACCAAA